AACGGUAACAGGAAGAAGCUUGCUUCUUUGCUGACGAGUGGCGGACGGGUGAGUAAUGUCUGGGAAACUGCCUGAUGGAGGGGGAUAACUACUGGAAACGGUAGCUAAUACCGCAUAACGUCGCAAGACCAAAGAGGGGGACCUUCGGGCCUCUUGCCAUCGGAUGUGCCCAGAUGGGAUUAGCUAGUAGGUGGGGUAACGGCUCACCUAGGCGACGAUCCCUAGCUGGUCUGAGAGGAUGACCAGCCACACUGGAACUGAGACACGGUCCAGACUCCUACGGGAGGCAGCAGUGGGGAAUAUUGCACAAUGGGCGCAAGCCUGAUGCAGCCAUGCCGCGUGUAUGAAGAAGGCCUUCGGGUUGUAAAGUACUUUCAGCGGGGAGGAAGGGAGUAAAGUUAAUACCUUUGCUCAUUGACGUUACCCGCAGAAGAAGCACCGGCUAACUCCGUGCCAGCAGCCGCGGUAAUACGGAGGGUGCAAGCGUUAAUCGGAAUUACUGGGCGUAAAGCGCACGCAGGCGGUUUGUUAAGUCAGAUGUGAAAUCCCCGGGCUCAACCUGGGAACUGCAUCUGAUACUGGCAAGCUUGAGUCUCGUAGAGGGGGGUAGAAUUCCAGGUGUAGCGGUGAAAUGCGUAGAGAUCUGGAGGAAUACCGGUGGCGAAGGCGGCCCCCUGGACGAAGACUG
rnacentral:rRNA from 1 species